CAAAUUAGAGCUUGUUAAAGUAUUCCAUUUACAUUGGAAAGAAAUUAAAAUUUAAUUAAUUUGA
rnacentral:tRNA from 2 species